GGUGGGAAGAAUUCUGGAGUAUGUUAUAGGUGCCGGAGCAAGGGACACUUCUUCAUCGAUUGUCCAAUAAGACGUCAGCAUUACUGAGGGUGAAGAAAUGGAAGGAAACACCUAAUGAUAUGGCCCGCAUGUUCCAAUCUCAAGUAAGACUGAACGACGAAGAAUAAAUAUGUAUUUCUGUGAAUGUUACGAUCCAUAAGGGAAAAGGCAUCGCGAACGCAAACGCAAAAGGGAAAGAGUCGGAUUGAGCAUUGUUUAAUGUUUGACUAGCUAUAGGGGAUUUCGUGUGUGUAUUAAG
rnacentral:lncRNA from 1 species